UGCAGCUUGGUGUUUUAGCAUACUAUGGUUUGGUCGUAGAGGGGAUUUGUUGUUAGCUGCAU
rnacentral:tRNA from 1 species